GUCGCCACUGGGGAGACAAAGGCGACCGGGCGUGGUGCUGGCCACCCACCCCCUCGUGUGCCGUGCCGGCCUUCAUAGGUGCUACUCGCUAACAGCACUUGCCCCAGCAGCCUGUUGCAGGCUACACUGGAGGGAUCUUUUGUGCGCGCGCGAGACCCAGGCUUGUUCAACUUCAAUAGACACCCGGGCACGGCAGACGUUUGCGCUGCGUGUGACUUCUCAAGAGCCGCCUCACGUAGCCUGGAGAAUACGGUAGCAGUGGCGAACGGUGACGGUUAACGGCCGCCAAGUUGUAUUCGUUGCCAGAGCAGCUUCGGUCGUGCCCGACGAGACUGCGUCGAUGACCGAAGGGGCCCGCUUCAGAGGCGUCGUGUGGUCCACGCGGCUGGAGGACGCUCACUCCUCUCCCUCGCCCGGGUGACUACCAAGUCCGUGUGUCCAAGGAACACAAUUGAAAAGCCAAUGAUGAUCCGCUGUUGUGCGCGUCCAAGAUUCGGCGCGGCGCGUGAGAUGGAUUCACGGGGGCCGACGGGGCACGGGUGGAGAAGAGGAUGGAUGAUGCCGCCGGGGGAGAUAGGCCAGUGUCGAGCGGUGCGGGAGACGGCGGAGUCUGACGGUCGUGCGUAGAACCUCGAGCGGCGAACGAGACGAGGGCAAUAAACAGCACGCGCAUUUCACAUUCACGGCGGCUGCCUUCGCCGGCACCUCGUGGGUUGACACGGACCCGGUGAUGCUGCUGCUGGUAGUGAUCAUCUGCUCGUGGUGGUGAUCAUCUGCUCGUGGUGGUGGUGAUCAUCUGCUCGUGGUGGUGAUCAUCUGUUCGUGGUGGUAGUAGUGGUGUU